rnacentral:rRNA from 1 species
AGUGAACGCUGGCGGUAGGCCUAACACAUGCAAGUCGAACGGCAGCACAGUAAGAGCUUGCUCGUACGGGUGUCGAGUGGCAGACGGGUGGGGAAUACAGCGGAAUCUACUUUUUCGUUGUGGAUAACGGAGGGAAACUUAGGCUAAUACCGCAUACGACCUACGGGUGAAAGCAGGGGAUCUUCGGACCUUUCGCGAUUGAAGGAGCCGAUGUCGGAAUAUCUCGUUGGCGGGGUAAGGGCCCACCAACGCGACGCUCCGUAGCUGGUCUGAGCGGAUGGUGAGCCGCAAUAGAACGGAGACAACGUCGAGAAUACUACGGGAGGAAGCAGCGGGGAAUAAUAGACAAUGGGCGGAAGACGGAUCCAGCAACACCGCGUGGGGGAAGAAGGAGUUCGGGUUGUAAAGACCCUUUGUUGGGAAAGAAAAGCAGCAGGUUAAUACCCCGCUGUUUUGACGGUACCCAAAGAAUAAGCACCGGCUAACUUCGUG